rnacentral:rRNA from 1 species
GACGAACGCUGGCGGCGUGCUUAACACAUGCAAGUCGAACGAUGAACCACUUCGGUGGGGAUUAGUGGCGAACGGGUGAGUAACACGUGGGCAAUCUGCCCUUCACUCUGGGACAAGCCCUGGAAACGGGGUCUAAUACCGGAUAACACUGCCACGGGCAUCUGUGGUGGUUAAAAGCUCCGGCGGUGAAGGAUGAGCCCGCGGCCUAUCAGCUUGUUGGUGAGGUAAUGGCNCACCAAGGCGACGACGGGUAGCCGGCCUGAGAGGGCGACCGGCCACACUGGGACUGAGACACGGCCCAGACUCCUACGGGAGGCAGCAGUGGGGAAUUUUGCGCAAUGGGGGAAACCCUGACGCAGCAACGCCGCGUGGAGGAUGAAAUCCCUUGGGAUGUAAACCCCUUUCGAUCGGGAAGAUAAUGACGGUACCGAGAGAAGAAGCCCC